rfam:Peptoniphilus grossensis strain 35-6-1 unitig_0, whole genome shotgun sequence.
AAACAAGCAAUAAAAAAGAGGAUUGUAAAAAUUUAUAUUUAGAGAGAGACCAUUUGCUGGAAGGUCUUUAUAAACUUUACGAUUGUAGCUUUUUUGCUUCUUUGGUGAAUUUAGUAGCCAGAGACGACUUAUCUCGUUAAAGAUUUUAAAGUGUUUAUUGAAAAAUAAAAAUUAAGGUGGUACCGCGUCUUUCGUCCUUAUG